UCGAUCUGGUGGGAAGAGGGGGGGGGAAUAGGGUGGGGUAAAUGGUGAAUGGGAGUGACGUGGCGGAGAGCGUGCGUAGGCGGUUCAUGAAGUCGGUUGUGAAAUCCAUGGGCUUAACCUGGGAACUGCAGUCGAUACGGGAAGGCUUGAAUGCGGGAGAGGGUUACGGAAUUCCAGGUGUAGCGGUGGAAUGCGUAGAGAUCGGGAAGAAUACCAGUGGCGAAGGCGUUCUGCUGGGCCGUUGCUGACGCUGAGGCGCGACAGCGUGGGGAGCAAACAGGAUUAGAUACCCCAGUAGUC
rnacentral:rRNA from 1 species